rnacentral:tRNA from 1 species
CUUCAAGAAGCUUUUAUAUAGCACCAGCCUUUUAAGCUGGAGACGAGAUUAACCACCUCCUUGAAGA